rnacentral:rRNA from 1 species
GUAGCUGGUCUGAGAGGAUGAUCAGCCACACUGGAACUGAGACACGGUCCAGACUCCUACGGGAGGCAGCAGUGGGGAAUAUUGGACGAUGGGCGCAAGCCUGAUCCAGCCAUACCGCGUGGGUGAAGAAGGCCUUCGGGUUGUAAAGCCCUUUUGUUGGGAAAGAAAAGCAGCCGGUUAAUACCCGGUUGUUCUGACGGUACCCUGGGAAUAAGCACCGGCUAACUCCGUGCCAGCAGCCGCGGUAAUACCGUCCUGCACCAGCAGCCGCGGUAAU